GGGUCCUUAGAGAUCAUUUAAAAUUUCAACACUUCUCCCUGCUUCACCUUGUUCUGAUUCAAUUGACACUGGAAAAGUUAUGGAAAGAGUGUUUAAUAUAAUCUGAACUCACCAGAAGGCUUCCAGUGUGGCUGCCUCCUGCUGGAAGCAUGGGAGAAGGAAUCAGGGCACUGUCUGUCUUUCUUUACAAGACACUGGACUCAACUCUAAGAAAUCCCUGGAUCUUCCCUGGAUCCUGACCACCACAUGGCCAAAGAUACUGAAGCUAUCAAACUGAAGCCACUCCUCAUGGUGAGCUCUGAGGAACCUCAGGAAAGAGAAGAAUACCUGCUUUCCAGCAGCCAUCAGACUGCAGCCACUCCCCACUGUGAUCCCCGAGGAAACUCAGGAAGGAGAAGUCAGGAUGCUGGUCCCAGGUGGUAAGGGAUGCUGUCCAUACAUAAUGGCCUGCCUCAGGAAACCCCGCCCCUCUGCCUCUGUCCAGGACCUGUCCACCUGUGGAUGGUUACAGGAGGGAGAAAGUAACACAUCUCCCUCAGAGGCUGGCCAUUCCAGAUAUUUGCCAGAUUAGUGGCCUUUUUACUUUAUUUCCUCACCUCCCAGCUCUGUGUUCUAUGAAAGACACUGGCAUCCAGACCCUGACAAGAUGGUUUCUUGGAGAUAUUAG